rnacentral:rRNA from 1 species
UCCGGAUUUAUUGGGCGUAAAGAGCUCGUAGGCGGCUUGUUGCGUCGACCGUGAAAACCCGGGGCUCAACUUCGGGCUUGCGGUCGAUACGGGCGGGCUAGAGGCAGGUAGGGGAGAAUGGAAUUCCUGGUGUAGCGGUGAAAUGCGCAGAUAUCAGGAGGAACACCGGUGGCGAAGACGGGUCUCUGGGCCGAAAUUGACGCUGAGGAGCGAAAGCGUGGGGAGCAAACAGG